rnacentral:tRNA from 1 species
GCGGCAGUGGCGGAACUGGUAGACGCGCUAGCUUGAGGGGCUAGUACUCGCAAGGGUGUGGAGGUUCAAGUCCUCUCUGCCGCA